GGCUUUUGUUCUAAAUCUUACAAAGGGCAACUAGACAACCCAUAGCAUUAAAAUCCAAUAUUCUUGGUUUUUCUCUUGUCAAAUCCAAAGCUUACUCCAUGAAAUGGAAAUAAUUAAAAGGUGGCAAGAAUUUUAGAGCAAUAUUGAUCUAUUUUAUAAAUGAGGCCCUGUUAAUGAAGCUUUUAGUUGAAUUCAAGACAUGUUUUCCUUUUGUACCCACAUAUUUUUGCAGAACUGUUUCAUCUCUUUGAGUUUGUACUGAUUAGCACAAAUUUUCUGACUCAUUAAACCAAUAAAUACUUCAGAUGUACUUUCCAAGCUAUGUUUUAAGGUGCAGUUUUGGGAGGAUGUUUGCAUUUGUGCAGUCCUGAUGUGGCCGGAACAAACUUUAGACAUGCCCAACAGUGCAGAAAGAAAAGGCACUCUAAAAGUUCCAGAGAAGUUUACAAAAUACACUUUUAUCAAUUAUGUGGCAGUCACUCAGGAUGUGGCUCUAGGUGACAACUGGUUACAAAUCUUCCCUAAAUUCUCUUGGUUUGUAAUCAAUGUUUCCUGUAUCUGUUCAGAUUUCUGGAGAUCUUAAGGACCAAAGGAUUAGACUGAGGGCAUGCAACAAAAUGAGUGGAUCCAAAUGUCCAGUGCCUCGAUGUGGAAUACAUCCAGACUUUCCUUUCACAAAAGAUGCUCUAAAUAUAUUACCAGUAUGUGAUUUUUGUCUUCUAUUUUAUUAACACACACUUACUGCACACUUGUGAAGAGAACAUGAUGAUGUUUGUCAUCUUCUUAAAAGCUGUUCUAUAAUGUGCAUGAAUUAAAGUACCUGAAGCUAAAAGCAAGGGAACUGGUUGAAAGUUUGAAAAUAUAGUUUAUAGAUGACCAAUCUUUCAGCUGGAGACAUGGUGGGAGAACUGUCACAUGCUGAAGUAUGAAGCAUGCCUGACAUUUCCAGAAGAAAAAUCCAUACCAAUCUUCUUUUAGGCUCCAUUACAGGCCAAGGAUGAGAGGCAGUUCCUUGUCUCUUAGCUGUCAUCUUUCUAAAUCCCUUCAAAAUUCACAGCAAAAUACUGUAUUUAAAGUAAGUGUUUAUGAAUGUAAAUGAGUCCAUGGUAUUUCACAUUAUUAAUUCGGGAUGUUUUUUAAUUAUCUGUUCAUCUUUUUUCCACUUUUAAUUUUUCAAUGUCUUUUAAUUGAGAUGUGGAUCAUAGUUAUGUCAUAUAUUCAUUACAGUAAUCACAACAAUGAUUAACCAAAUAUUUUACAGCUCAAAGAAUGCUCAAUGCAUCUUAACUUGCUCUUACACAGUUACUCUCUUACCCAUUCCAAUAGCAGCACUCCCUUAAUAUCUAAGAAUUUAGCACAAAGUUCAAGUGAAUAUACGUUCUUGUUUUUCUGACCUAGGUUUAUUCUCCAGUGAGCUAGGCUGAAGCAAAUGGGGCAACCAAUAUAGCCUACAACCUUAAAAGAUUCCUUUUAUUUUCCCUUUCCACAGAACACCAGCAAAACCUGCCAAUGUUUUGUAGUUACCUGUAAUUUAUAAAAUUUGUAACUUUAGUUUGAAGCAAAUUCAUUUCCCCCAUGUUUCAAGUACAGUACAAUAAAAUGGACAUGGUUUUUGGCAUAAAAACUAAGGAGUUAAAAAAAAUCAAGGGUGAAAAUGGAGGCCAAACUUACUUUCUUCAUUACUAGAGGUGAAAUUUCUUGUACGUGAUAUUCACUCAUAUUAUCAACUGUACCACUAAUUUUGUUUUUUGGGGUUUUUUUUUUUUUGGUACUGGGGAUCAGAUUAAGGACCUUGCACUUGUGAGGAAGGCUGUGGAACCACUGAGCUAAGUCCCCGGCCUUGUUUUUUGGUUUUUGAGACGAGAUCUAACUAUGCAGUUCAAGCUGACCUUGAUCUCCUGUGUAGCUGAGGCUGGCCUCGAACUUGCAGCAAUCCUCCUGCCUCAGCCUCCCAAGUGCUGGGAUUACAAGAGUAAUCACACCCGACUGUAUCACUAAUUUUGAAUGCAAUAUAUUAAUAGAAAUACUAACUAUUCAUCAAGAACGUACUAGGUUUUAAUUAUUAUGCAGGACUUUGGAAAUAAGAGCAGUAAGAAAGGACACCAAGGUAUUCGGUGAUCCUUUAAUGUUUUUCUUCUCCUCGUACAGAAGAGUGUCAUAAAAUUCAGCCUUUCAAACCAUAUUUUGCAUGUAAUUAUCUCAACCAAAUGAAACUCUUUAUUCAAUAAGGUUUUUACGUAGGUAUCACUGUUGCUUCAAAAAUUUCUAAUGCACAGAUUUGUUGUUGCAACCUUGACAUCACUUAGGUCCACUCUACCCUCAGUAGAUAAAUCACCCAGUCUAAUUUAAAUUUAAAUCAAGUGUUCAGCCAAGCUCACUAGAAAAGGUUGCACAUUAGAAAAUACAAAUUAAUAUAAAAGGUACAAUGACCACUUAAAAAUAAUUCCACUAACACAUUCUUAGCAAAAUCAUAAGGUAUACUUUUUUUUUAACCCUCUCUUUGAUUUUUUUAUUUUCUUCAGUCUCAUGUCAAAGAAGGUCUUCUUUGAAGUUCUGGUUUGUUGCUCAGCAGCUGCAUCAUCAGAAAUAGCUGACUUGAGCAGAUAGGCACAUAUUUUUCAACAUCUCCAAAUCUCCAGAAUUCUCAGUAAUAGUGGCUAAUUUUACAAAGUUUCUAAGUACAGGUAAUGAAUUUUUAACAGUAUUCCCAGUUUCUAAACUAUUAAAAAACAGCACUGAGGGCUGGGGAUUUAGCUCAGGGGUGCCGGUGCCGGUGCCUGCCUUGAAAGGGCAAGGUCCUGAGUUCGAUCCCUGGUACCAAAAAAAGAAAAAAAAAAAAAAACAACAGCACUGAAAUCAUAUUGAACAGGGCAGGGAAUUUAGCUCAGGGCCACUGUGCCUGUCUCACAAUGUCCUGAGUUCAAUCCCCUGUAUGGGGUGGGGGGAGAUACCUGUAAUCUCAUGUUUAUUAUAGCACUAUUUAAAUUAGCCAAGAGAUGGGAUCAAAUGAGGUAUUCAUCAACAGAAAGGAUAUCGGGAAAGGAGUAUUUAUAGACAAAGGAAUAUUAUGCACCCAUAAGAAUAAAAUCCCAUGGCAACACAGAUGAAUCUGUACAUUCUGUCAAGAUGAAGUAAAGAGAAAUAUUGCAUAUUCUCAUUCAUAUGUGAAACUUACUUCAUAAAAAUACAGAAUAGAACAGAGGUCAAUAUAGGCUGGUAAAAGCAUACAGAUCGGUCGUAAGAUGCAGGGAGGCUGGAUAACAACAGAACACAGAUAGAUAGGAGGAAUAAUUGCUCAUGUUCUACAGUUAAAAUAGAAUGUCUCAAGUUUAUAUAUUUAGUAAAGAACUAGAAGAGAGACUCUCCAAGGAUCCCAACACCAAUUAGGUGAGAGAUCCUAAUUAUUCUGAUCUAUCCAUUAUACAUCAUAUACAUGUAUCAAAUUAUAAAAAUGUUUACCAUAAAUGAUUACAUGACAGUUUCUUAAAGUGAGGGAAAAAUUCC
ensembl:lncRNA